AUGGCCAGCUUGCUGGUCUGAUCAGUGGCCGAACGGGUUGAGUAACACGUGAGCAACCUACCCCAGACUCUGGAAUAACCAUGGGAAACGAUGGCUAAUACCGGAUACGAGACACACACGCAUGUGUGGUGUCUGGAAAGAUUUAUCGGUCUGGGAUGGGCUCGCGGCCUAUCAGCUUGUUGGUGGGGUAGUGGCCUACCAAGGCGACGACGGGUAGCCGGCCUGAGAGGGCGACCGGCCACACUGGGACUGAGAUACGGCCCAGACUCCUACGGGAGGCAGCAGUGGGGAAUAUUGCACAAUGGGCGCAAGCCUGAUGCAGCAACGCCGCGUGAGGGACGACGGCCUUCGGGUUGUAAACCUCUUUUAGCAGGGAAGAAGCGAAAGUGACGGUACCUGCAGAAAAAGCACCGGCUAACUACGUGCCAGCAGCCGCGGUAAUACGUAGGGUGCAAGCGUUAUCCGGAAUUAUUGGGCGUAAAGAGCUCGUAGGCGGUUUGUCGCGUCUGCUGUGAAACCCCGAGGCUCAACCUCGGGCCUGCAGUGGGUACGGGCAGACUAGAGUGCGGUAGGGGAGAUUGGAAUUCCUGGUGUAGCGGU
rnacentral:rRNA from 1 species